rnacentral:rRNA from 1 species
UACGUAGGGUGCAAGCGUUGUCCGGAAUUAUUGGGCGUAAAGAGCUCGUAGGCGGUUUGUCGCGUCGAAUGUGAAAACCCGGGGCUCAACCCCGGGCCUGCAUUCGAUACGGGCAGACUAGAGUUCGGUAGGGGUGACUGGAAUUCCUGGUGUAGCGGUGGAAUGCGCAGAUAUCAGGAGGAACACCGAUGGCGAAGGCAGGUCACUGGGCCGCAACUGACGCUGAGGAGCGAAAGCAUGGGGAGCGAACAGG